UACGUAGGGUGCAAGCGUUGUCCGGAAUUAUUGGGCGUAAAGAGCUCGUAGGCGGUUUGUCGCGUCGGCUGUGAAAACUCGGGGCUCAACCCCGAGCCUGCAGUCGAUACGGGCAAACUAGAGUGUGGUAGGGGAGACUGGAAUUCCUGGUGUAGCGGUGAAAUGCGCAGAUAUCAGGAGGAACACCGGCGGCGAAGGCGGCAUCCUGGACCGACAUUGACGCUGAGGAGCGAAAGCCAGGGGAGCAAACGGG
rnacentral:rRNA from 1 species